ensembl:lncRNA
AAAAAGUAAUCAUUACCUCUCAUUCCUCUUGAGGGUGUGCUGCAGUGAGCUAUGAACUGAUGGUUCAAAAUGCCAGAGAAAGGGAAGAGCCCGAGGCUUGCUGUGAUCCUACACUCCCUGACUUAGGCAGUCAGGCCACUGUACCUUAGGAAUUGGUUGUCCUGUCUGCUGUGCUCUCAGGAGAAAAGUUCCCAUACUGUGGAGUUUCCCAGCUCAAGAAGAGGACGCUGCUCUGGACUGUGUGUUGGUAGUGACAACGAUCACAGACCAUAUCUGUUCCUGGGCAGCAUACUCCACUCUCUGCCUGGCCUGAGUUACCUUUAAUUAUCUGAAAAUGGACAAGAAGGACCACAGCUUUGUCUAAGAGCUUUCUGAAAUUCAGCCCAGUCUUUUACAUGAGUCUGAGCCAAAUCUAUUCUUUCAAGAAUGCAGGUGUCAUAGUAAAUCAUCCUAAAAAUGAGGAAAUUCUCAAUAUUCUAUCCUACUUUUCCUUGUUUCAGAAAGAGAAGGGCACAGAUGUGGUUGAAUACUCUGAUGGGAUCUGUAAUGACAGUAUUUUCAGGCCAGUUAAGUACAGGAAAUAUAAAAAAUCUUUAGGGGAUUGGGUAUGAGGGGACUGGUACAUAACUUUCACUUCUCAGCAGAAUUCAGAGAAUUUGGGAAAGACUUUGUUGACCUUAUUGGGGAAAACUAAUUAUUUAAACCUCUGGAAAUCCCACUGUAGGUUCUCAUAAGCUACACAGCCAAAACUCUCUGGCAAGAGAUAGUUAUUAUACAUCUGAGGAGAGCAUGUGAAUGUUUCCAACUUCCUUCAUAACAACAAAAAAAUCCUUCACUAAAUCAUUUGUCUGUAGGAAACUAAGUGCUUCAGACUACAAGAUUUCUUUGCAUUAUCUUUCUUGUAAGUAAACUUCAGUAAAUCUCUAUUUUUGAGAAAUAGUGUGGGGAAGUCUAUUGAUUAAACAGCUCAGCCUUAAACAGGGCACCCUUGGGAAAAUGUUAUGCCCAGAAAAUUGAGCAUAUGUAUAUACCAUUAUGUAAGAAAGUUAGUGCUUGGCUGAAUAAAGUGAAUAAUAAGGAAAAAAAAAGGAGGGAGGGGAAGAGAUUAGAUUUUUAUCAGUAGUCUCCAAUGUACUUAUAAUUCUUUGAAUUUCUGGAGGUCUAUCAGGUUAGUACACUGUUCAAUCUAUUUGGCAUUUUCCAUGUUUCUGAACAGUAGUUAACAAUGACAAGAAAAUCAUGACAUACAUCCUUAAUGAUUUCAUUUGUUUGGGUUUGUUUGUUUGUUUGUUUGUUUGUUUUCUUUGUUUUGUUUGUUGUUGUUGUUUUUAACCAAGAAAACUUCCUUAAAUUCU